GAGGGUGUAGCUCAGUGGUAGAGCACAUGCCUAGCAUGCAUGAGGUCCUGGGUUCAAUCCCUAGUACCGCCG
rnacentral:tRNA from 1 species